CUUAUAAAAGCGUUAGCAAAUUGUCACACGUUUAAAUGGCCGUGUAAUAGGUAUUGGUUUUAAUUGUCAGUACUUAAGUGGCCAUUAUGACAAAGUGUUUUGCUUCAUAAGUCAGGUAAGCCCCUCACUCUCCAAGGAAACAGGCUUGAGACUCAGCUGCUGAAAGCUUAGAGCCAAGUGUGUAACCCACUGUAACAUGUGUAUGGGACGCUGGCAUUUUGACAUUGGCCUCAGUCUUUUUUUUUUUUCAUUUUUAAAAUUUUGGUAAAAUAUGCAUAACAUAAAAUGUAUCAUUUUAAGUGUACAGUUCAGUGGCACCAAGUACACUCACAUUGUGUGCAACCAUCACCACCAUCCAUCUCCAGAACUGUCUCAUCGUCCCCAGUUGGAGCUCUGCACGUGUCAAACACUAACUCCCCAGUUCCCUCCCCAGCCCCUGGCACCCGCCGUUUCAGCCUCUGUGAAUCUGACUCCUCCACGUACCUCAUAUACGUGGAAUCAUACAGUAUUUGUCCCCUUGGGUCAGGCUUAUUUCACUUGCAAUAACGUCUUCAAGGUUGAUCCACGCUGUGGCGUGUGUCAGAAUUUCCUUCCUUUUUAAGGCGGAAUAAUAUCCCGUUGUGUGGAUGGACCGCAUUUGGUCUGUCCAUUCUUCUGACACUGGACAUUGAUUGGUUUCCACCUUUGGGCUAUUGUAAACAAGGCUGGUAUUGGCCUUGACAGUCUUAAUUCUGUUUUGUGUUCCAACCCUUGUGUUUUCCUUUUCCUUUCUCCUCUACUUCUAAUUUAUGCUUCCCUGUGACUGACAUCAGCCUCGGUUGUGGCCCCUCAGGAAAUUCUGUCAAACUACCUAAGCAGCAGGAGUUCCAAUAUCGAUGUGAGAGACGAAAGUCCAAAAUCAAAUGAGCCUUCCCACAAACGAAAAGGUCCUUAACCAUUUCUGGGGCCACCAACCCAUUCGAGAAUCUAAAAAAGUUUUGAACCCUGUCCCACUUAAAAAAGCGCACGCACUCCCACAAACACUGCGGCUUCCGUUUCCAUCCCUGAAGCCCAUCCUCGGGCCACACGUCUAUCUCUGCUCUGGAUAAUUAGUUUCUUCCCCAAAGUUUCAAAUCAGCGCAUGGCUGAUACACUGCGUGAAGCGCAUCAUCGCUUCGGAGGAUUACGCACAGCUGAAUGUCUGCACCGCGACCUUCCCCAGCGCGGACCUCAGCGGGGUGACAGCCCAGCAACAGCCAAGUGCCCUAACAAAAGGAGACGCCCACGGAGAGUAAUCCGUGAAAAUGGACUGCCUGUCCCCAUCAGAGACGCAACUGGAUGCCGAGAGGUCACGAGACCCUGGAAACGCCUUUAGAAGAAAGCUGCUUCUCUCCCACCCUUUAGGGUCCAGUGAGCACGGGAAACACAGGCCCGCGCCCUGAACCCAAGGGGGACGCCACGUAGCUGAUCAGAAAUACCCUAACUGAUGGAUUGCACUGAUUCGUUCAAUUUUAUGUUAGCACAAGAGCGAUGGAUGAUAAAAAUCCAUGUCUAUGAAGUCCAAAAGAGCUCUUUCAAUAAAUAUAAAG
rnacentral:lncRNA from 1 species